rnacentral:rRNA from 1 species
CUGCUGCCUUCCGUAGGAGUUUGGGCCGUGUCUCAGUCCCAAUGUGGCCGUCCACCCUCUCAGGCCGGCUACUGAUCGUCGCCUUGGUGGGCCUUUACCCCGCCAACCAGCUAAUCAGACGCGGAUCCAUCGUAUACCACCGGAGUUUUUCACACCGUCUCAUGCGAGACUGUGCGCUUAUGCGGUAUUAGCACCUAUUUCUAAGUGUUAUCCCCCAGUAUACGGCAGGUUAUCCACGCGUUACUCACCCGUCCGCCA